UGGCUACCCUUAGGGGACUGUUAUAAAUACCUCCACAUAAAUAAAACCAAGAGAAGACAAGAUUUUUCAGAAGUUGGAGUAGCAAGGUACAUAAAUGUGGGCUCUGCUGUAUUAAAGCAUGGCAAGGAAGAAAAGCAAAUUCUCAGCUGCAGUAUAAAAGGUUAUGCUUUGAUCUGAUGGUAUUUGGGAAAGACCUUGGGAGACUGCGUGAAGAGACACAAUAAAGGGAAUGAUUAGAUAAGAGACAGCAUAUCUACAACUCAGAGGGUGAAGAGCCUCCUCAGGAGCUGCUAUGGCUGCGUGAUGACAUGACUUUGGCAGACUCAGUUCUAUUGGUUACUGAAAGAUGUAACAUUUAUGAUACAGAGUCCAGACUGAUGAAUAAGGGCCAGUCCAGAUGGCAGCAGUUUCUCCCAACAGUUGUAACAAGAAACCGGAACUAGGGAAGGAAUUUCAAGGAGUAGGAGGGGUAUUAACAACAUUUUCAGUUGGACUAUAACUUGUUGCUAGGCCUCUAUUGAUGCCAAGUAAAAGGAAACCAGGCCAUAAAAGAACACAGUAGCUGGACAUCAUCAAAGCUGAAACUAGCCAGAACAUAGAAAAACUUAAAGAAGCAGUGCAAGUUCAGAAGAUUUGGAGAGACCUGGCCCAGUUGGACAAGACUGAAUGGAUAUCAUCAUCAUCAUCAUCGCCAAUUGAUGCCUUUUGUUCUAGGCUGCAUGUUUGUACUCCCAAUGUAGAAUUUUAAAGGGUAAAACUAUUAUUUUGAAUUAGGUUUAGAAACACAUGAACAAAAAAUGCAAUUGAUGCAAAAUCCAUGUCACAUAUUAUGAUCGUAAUACCAGUUGUAUCCUCAUGGCCAUACUUUGAAAUUUGUAAAGCAUUUAUAAAAUGCAUAGGAAUAUAAGUUGUCCUUAACAUAUGACCAUAAUGGAGUCAUUAUGCCCAUUAUGAUCAUAAAGGUCGUAUUUUAUGUUUUUGAAAUGGUUGUUAAGCAAACUAAUAUUUUUUAUGGGCACAGUUUUGCCAAAAACCAAAAGAAGCAAGUGCUGUUUUACAUUAUUAUGUUUUACAAAACUGUUGUCAAACAUGAUAUAUGACCACUGCAUUUAUCUCUCAACUAUGUGAAAUGUUAAAUAUGACUUAUUAAAGUUGUAUUGAUCUCAAUGAA